CCAGAGACCGCCUUCUCCUGUUCAGAUUGCCCAGAUGUCUUCUCCAAUCAAGCCACAGGACAGGGUGCUGAGAUGAGGGAUCAUGAUACUGCAGAAGUCUAUCCUACCAACAACAUUCUGUCACAGGACACAGCAUCUUCCUCCAUCUGAUACAGCUUUUCCUCAUGGCCAAAAAACAAACAAAAACUCCAACACAGUAUAUCAGAGACAGUUUGCAGAGGUCACCAUUUGUAAUUUCUGAGCAUUCAGACUGGCUUAUAACAAAACAACAAGAUGUUUCUGAUGAUGACACUUCCACAUUAUUUGAAACAUUUCUUCAUCCAGAGGACAUACUAUCUAAUCCAUCUGUAACAUUCUAACCAGCCAACUCAAACCCUGAUGUGGAUAUUAUUAGUGAUUAGCCUACCUGAGGACAGCCUCAUCAGAAUCCUACAUAUACUCAACCUGCCAACACAAGACACACUAACAUCCUUGACACUGGCUACUCAUCUAUAACUGUGCAAACAUGGAACCUUAUGAUAAAUCAACACAUGCAGUUGCUUAAUGAAAAUUUAAGAUCCAAUGAUUAUGAACUUGGUCAAAAAUCUAAUAAGGGUCUUAUACAGACAUGCCAGUGCAGUAAAUUAUCACCUAGAUAUGGGUUUCAACAGCAUAAGAUGACUCUAAACAAGAGUCAGUUUGCAGCCCCUCAUUAAUUAGUUUUGUAAAAUCUGUGCAGUGUUAUUUAACCAGCGUUACCCAUGUUGCAUUCUAGGCUCAAGGCCACAUCUAUGUACUGUAGGAGCUUGCAGGGGAUGACAAAAAAUAAAAAAUCAUUGUCUAUUUUUGUUUUAUACAGUACUAUCAUAUUAACAUUAUUUUUCGUUAUAUAUGUGAAUGUAGUUGCUAUAUAUGUAUGACACAUAUCUCAGGUUUGUGCCUGCAUAAUGGGAUUAGACAUCAGGCAUCCUUACAAAUUAUCAAUUAGACAUGUGCGAUUCAUUUCGGAUCGAUUCGGAAAUUCGGCCGAAUUUCUUAAAUUCGGAGAUUCGGAUCGAUUCGAAUUUCCGAAUUGAAAUAGUGCUGAAUCUACCGAAUAAAUCCCAAUUAGUUCGGAUUCAUUCGGUAGAUUUGGAUGGCCAUGGAUUAUACUAGUAUUGUACAGUAUAUUAGGUUAUAUCACUCUGCUAUGGGUUACACCUAAUAUACAGUACAUAAUACUAGUCUAAUACACAGCACAUCCCACCUAACACAUACCGAAAUUCCGAAUUUCAGAAUCGAACCGAAACCAAAUCGAACCGAAUCCAGCCGAAUUUAUUCAAAUCCGAAACGAAUCCGAAACAAAUUCAUUCAAAUUUUUCCAAUUCGAAUCAAUACGAACCGAAAUUCGAAAAAAAUCUGAA